rnacentral:rRNA from 1 species
GUGGAUUAGGUACCCUAGUAGUCCACGCCCUAAACGAUGAACACUAGGUGUGGGGUGCAAAGCAUUCCGUGCCGCAGCUAACGCAAUAAGUGUUCCACCUGGGGAGUACGGCCGCAAGGUUGAAACUCAAAGGAAUUGACGGGAGCCCGCACAAGCAGUGGAGUAUGUGGUUUAAUUCGACGCAACGCGAAAAACCUUACCAAGGAUUGACAUCCUAUGAAUCCCGAGUAAUGUUGGGAGUGCCUCUUCGGAGGAACAUAGAGACAGGUGGUGCAUGGUCGUCGUCAGCU